rnacentral:lncRNA from 1 species
GAAUAUUAAUUUAUAGAGGUUUUACUGUAUUUGUAUCAUACGAGAAAUCCAUUCGUGUACUUUUGGCAGUUUCCGCUUGUUGAAAUUCAGUGACAUCAAACUGAGUAUACAUAUCUCGUUCAUCUUCAUCUGAGUAAAAUUUGUUUCUCCCAUUAAAUAUUUAUCAUCUUAGUCAAUCAGACUUUCUUAAAAAAAAAAAAAAAAAAAAAAAAAAAAAAAUAUCAAUCAAUCAGAGUCUGCCACGUAGGCGUCUCUUAACCCACCAAUGGUAUCUUCUCCAAUAUACUCC